rnacentral:piRNA from 1 species
UGGAAGUUUUGCCCACAGCUCUUUCC